UAGGGAAUAUUGCUCAAUGGGCGAAAGCCUGAAGCAGCAACGCCGCGUGUGCGAUGAAGGCCUUCGGGUCGUAAAGCACUUUUCUGAGAGAUGAGAAAGGACAGUAUCUCAGGAAUAAGUCUCGGCUAACUACGUGCCAGCAGCCGCGGUAAAACGUGGAGGCAAGCGUUAUCCGGAUUCACUGGGCGUAAAGCGCGUGCAGGCGGUUCGGUAAGUUGGGCGUGAAAUCUCCUGGCUUAACUAGGAGAGGUCGUCCAAUACUACCGGGCUAGAGAGUGGUAGAGGAAGAUGGAAUUCCCGGUGUAGUGGUGAAAUGCGUAGAUAUCGGGAGGAACACCAGUGGCGAAAGCGAUCUUCUGGACCAUUUCUGACGCUCAGACGCGAAAGCUAGGGUAGUAAACGGGAUUAGAGACCCCGGCAAUCCUAGCCGUAAACGAUGUAGACUUGGCGUCGGUGGCUUAAACGACCAUCGGUGCCGCAGCAAACGCGAUAAGUCC
rnacentral:rRNA from 1 species